GACUCCCAAGGAGGAAGGAUCUCUAUCUGGAGAUCAUUCCUCUUGGAGUCCUUCUGCGAGCCCAGGACAUGGCCUUUUCUAGGUCAGCCACUGCCCCUGAUCUAGAUUUGGAUGUUGCUUGUGGACAUGACCCAGAAAGGUGUGUGGCUUGCCAUAAUAACACAGCUGGCUCUCCAUUUCAAGUUAUCAGCAUAUCCUUGCAGCCAUUUCUAGAUGUAUUUCUGGUAAAGGAGGACUGGCCUUUGGUUGCUUGCCUUAGGACAACUGAAAGCAAUUGAAAGACUCUUUUUUGAGCUGAGGGCAGCCCAGUAAAAAAUGCAGUUUCUGCAAUUUAUUGAAUUACUAAAGUAUGCAGAAAUUAUUAAUCACUAAACAUGAGAAAUAACUCAUGGCUUUCUUCUCUUGGUCUCACUCAACUUCAGCUGCCCUCUUUGAAUUAGUCCCAGAAGACAAUUAUUAUUUAUAUUACAGCAACACCUAGAGGCCCCUGCUGAAAUCAGGGCACUGUUGCUCAGUGCACUGCACACACCUGCCUCAUGUCCUGCCAUUCCAGCUGAUCAGCAAGAGGAAGAGGAGCAGUGGACACAGCAGGAGCAAAUCCAGAGCAUGCACCCAUGCUAACUCAGGCUGUAGAGUUGCUAUGCACUCUUGUCACCUAAAUGGGAAGCCAGCCUUGCAACUGCACUACUCUCAGAGGUGAGACCUAAUGGGCAUUACUGUUGCACUGGUGCCAGGAGACCAACUGCUGGGAACCAGAGGGCUAGGGCAGUCCCCACAGUCACCAGUGAAAGGAAAGUACUUACUGGGCCAGGUAGAUCCCAAGACCAUCACACUGCAGGAGGACUUUCAAGCCUUGAGCACUGGCUGGAAGGAACAUGAGGAAAGCAAUCUGUUUGGCAGUGGAGGGGACAGCUCUGCUUCUGCCGUUCAUGCCUGUGCUAUCUGUUCCAGAACUGACCAGUGGAAAACUUCUGGCCUUGCUUUUUCCCACUCUGCUUGGGGUUAAAGAGGGUACAAGAUGUAACAAGGUUUGGAAAUCACCCAGCGGAGAGCAUUCAUUGUUGGCUCCAGCCUUUAUUAAUGGAGAGCGCUUCAGAUUCAAGGCUAAAUCACUGGCUGAAGAGGACAGGAGCAGACAAAAGGCAAGGGGUACUGCAUGUGACCUGCGAGCUGGAAGUGUAACAAGAACGAUUUGGAAAUACUGCAAAGAGCAAACUGAUCCUGGUGGCAGUGUCAAUAGCCUCCCCUGUGAGCACUAAUUGUAUUAUUACGAAAACAGACUAACACAAAACUAAAGCACAGAAACAUACAUUUAAGAUCUGGCCAGAUGCCAGUGCGCUCAAGACACAUCCUUCAUACCAGCUGAAUUAUGAUGCUGUGCUAUUUCUUUUGCUGUAGCGCUUAAGAGUGCUAAUUGUCAACCCAUGUCCUGCCAUGGACUGUACCAUAAAAACACAGAUGGCCGGCACAGCACCCAUCCCAAAAAGCCUAUACUGCAUGUCCAAGGUCAGAGGGGUGGAGGCAGUUUAAGAUAGAGCAGGCCAGCUAGGUGGACAUUUGUCUCCAGGUAUCCAUGGCCAAGCUGUUGUCAAGGCAGAGAAGAUGGCUUUGAGGGAGAACUGUGUGACUUUGCUGAUGCUUCUGGUGAGAUUAUCACUGAUGUGGAAUAUAGAUUUUUUUUUUAGAUGUUUCCCCUUCUACCUUCAAGCCUCUUACUAUACAGCUACCAAGUGAAAUGCUCCAAAACAAAUAUAUUGCAAUCUCCUGCACAGAAACAGUUCAUGCAGACAAGCAUCAGCAGUUGCUUGGGAGCAGAUAGGAUCAUUGCAAGCAAUACAUCAGGUCCUCGCUUGAUGCUUCAAGUUUAAAUAAUAGCAGCUUCCAUUUCCUGGGUCACAAACAGCAAGUAUUUGCCAAUGAUACCUUAGUAAUUUGCAAAGCAGGGAAGAAGGGACGACCCCCCCCGACUUUAUUUUUGGCUAAUCAGAUGAUGAUGAAGAGCAUGUUUGUGUAUGGGAGAGGAGCUGGGGUCAUGGGGCCAGAGCCACAUGGGGGGGAUUUGUAUGCAAUGGGAAUAAAUCUGUGAAAAUGUGUAAGCGGAGCUGCAGAAGGAAAUCUGCAGCCGCCUGAGCCAGGCGGUUGAAUGGCAGAGAGGAUGGAGGCUAUUUGAAUACUGAUGUGGCCCUCACUUUCUUCCAUUUCCAUUAAUGACAUGCUCAUCAAGGGCAAACAAUGGGACCGGCUGCCUGCGCCUGUCACACUGUGUGGGUGCUGGGAAUGCCAGGCUGUCAUCCCGGGGCUGCAUUUAGAGACCUGCACGCUAAUAAGAAGUGCUCUGUGCCGUCAGUGCAGACAGGUGCUUCCGAGGCUGGGACAUGCUCCAUUCCCUUCCCCUGAAACCCUCCUCUCCCAGCCCCCUGACAGACACCAUGAAAUGCACAAAUUAACAGCCCCAUCAUGUUGGGCUGCUGCUGCCUGCGGUGAAAGCAGAAAAUCAAGUUGUCACCCAGGGUACAGUGAUAAAGCCACAGCCUCAUUUCUCUGUUGGUGCCCUAUAAUAGCAAAUGCCAGACAGCUGGAUGGAUUGGGAGGUUUUAGAUUAGGCUCCCGGUGCACUUUGGCCACUGAAUUAGCAGUUGCUGUUUUCAUGCGUAUUAUUCGUGUGCAAAGCAAACAUCUGGAGAAAGCAAAGGCUCUAGGGUCAGAUAUUCGAUGUGUCUUUUCCCCUAAUGAAGCGGAUACAACCAAAAUUGUUCAGUGCUUUUGGAAAAAAAAUUUCUCCCCCUCAGUGAAAAAGCAGAAACCCUCCCAGAUUUGCCUUUGGAGGCCUUCCCAGCAAAUGCAAGCAUUUGCCCAUGGCCAAACUGAACAAGGCUCUCCAACCAAGGCAAGUUUGUAAUUCUACAGAAAAAGUGGCUGGAGGAAAGUCAAAGCAGAUCUUUGUGGUAAGGUGAAAUGUUUGAAGGCAUUUUAUCUUCAUAGCACAGCAUCCCUCCCUGGCAGUGGGCUGUUCUCACAGCCACCCAAGUCCCACUGCAGUAACAGGGGUUUAAGCCUUUCACGCUUGAAUAGCUCAGCUGCAGAUGAGAACUGGUGGCCAGAGGUCAGAAUCCAAAGCAGGGCCAAAGCUGCUCUGAAAUUUCUGUUGCCACGGGACAAGGGCAGAUAUCUGGGAUUCUGAAAGUAAAACCAAGCCAAAAUGGAACUGAAAACAGCAGAACUAGAUGGCACUGUGAGUGGCCAGAUUUGCCCCAGAAAGCACCGAAGCAGCCUUAAGGAACAAAGGGGUCUGAGCCCUUCAGACUCCAAGGAGUUUAAUGACAUAAUGGCCUGAGAACUUCAACAUAAAACAGGAAGAGCAACUAACGAAACUUAUAACAUAAAACCCCCCUCCUGUCAUUUUUAUAGUAAUAGUAAAACACUUUAUUGAAUUUAUGAGCUACAUAAUGACUAUGAAGAAUGUAACUUGAAUUAGAACCAACUCAGAAGUAUAAUAUCAACUAUAAACCCUUUUCUAUUACCCCAUCCCUUUAUCAUCAUCCUAUCUUGCUCUUUUUAAAUCAGGGAAUAUUGCUUUCUUCCAAAUUUAGUCUGAGAUCUGUCUCCCAACUUCUUAGUACGUCAAGCAAAUCCCGGGUUUCUCAGAUGGACGCGUGGCCGAUUAAACAAGCUGUGGCCCACGAACAAACUGAGCUAAGGAUGCAUCAAGACGAAAGCAAACCACAUUUCUGUGCAAGCUGCAUCUGGGGAGGUGCAUGGGAAUAUUCUGCAGGUUGUGGCUGUGAAGCUGCGCAGCGAGGCACAGCACGGCGUAUUAAGGUGGUUCGGAACACAAAAUGCAAGUCUUCUCUAGAAACCUUAGAAACAAAAGAGCAACCCCGGGAUGCGCACAGGGAGCCAGGGAGUCCAUUUAGGACUGGGUGCAUUAGCAGGGCUGUGAAGCACCCUCUCUGGAGCCCUUUCUGUCCCAGGGUUUUGACACAAGUGAUAAAACCUGCACAAAUCCAGGGAAAGCAUUGAGGGCUGUUUAUGCCCCGAUCCAUUAUUUUUGUGGGGGAGUUUGUAAAUGAGUGAUUGUGUGGGAGGGAAAUGUACAUAACACAGCUAAAGCAGCAUGUUUUACUGUGUUUUCUGAUUCCAUUUUACUCCUUUAGUCUCUCCGGUCCCUGAGGAUUUUUCUGAAGGGGCGAUAAAAUAAAAUGGGUGAAACAAAGCCAUAAGCCAGUUAAGUCUGAAAGACAUGUCAUCUCAUCUAAAAAGAAGAAACGGACCAUUUCCAUGCCUAGGGCUGACAGCAACGCCUGAGCUAGCAAUAGCGCUAUUCCAUUUGAUUUAUAGAAUAAUGGGGUGACAAAUGAUGACAAAAAUAAACUUUUACUGCACUGAACUGCUCCUUUAUUUAUGAAAUUUGGCCAAGUAGUGAAAUCUUUUAUCUGCAAGUUGUAACAUGGAGUGGAAACGAGCGAUUAUGGUGUGGUAAUAGUAAUCCAGUGAUGGAGGCCGAGUCAGUUGGAAAUGGAUUGAGGUAAAAUAACUACCGCACCAUGAUAAAUGUGAACAGCGCUUUGCUGACAGAUGAUCUAACAGGUGUUCAUAACAACUAUAUAAGAGGAUUUAUUUAUGACUAGCCACAGCCGCAGCACUGUAAAUCAACUCCAGCAGCUGCACACCACUGAAACCAAGUCCCUGAUGGAGAAACAGUGCAAGAACCCAAAAGAACACAAUUCACUCCAGAAUCUUAAUCAUCAAAUAAC
ensembl:lncRNA